GUGGAGGUGAUGGAGACCGUGACGGGUGACUGCCAGUGAUCCCUGACGUAUUCAUACUGUCUGAUCCGC
rnacentral:snoRNA from 1 species